CCUCAAGGCCAGUUUUGAAGUUUGGAGCCCAAGUCUUGGUUAGAAUUCUGUUGUAAUUCCCAGGUGGGGGUUGAAAAUUUUAACUGCCAUAGAGAGAUAUGAGAUUCUGAGCAGUUUCUGACUGACUGGUUUUUGGAUCUGAACUUUGGUCCAAGAAGGAGCAUCUUUCUGGCUUUACCCUGGAUUUACCCUAUGGAAACAUUUUGGGAAUAACUGAGGGGCAGUUGAUCAUUUUGACUGAAGCUCUCUGGGAUCUUAGCUGGUCCCAGAAGCAGUGUCCUUUCUGAGUUUCUCGGUUUUUCCCUGUUACAAUUUGUGAAUACCAGGACUUCAUUGAUCAUGAGAAGAAACCAGAAGAUUUUGUUUUUCUCUGGGCUCUGAAGAAACCCAGAGCCAAAGCUGAACUUCUGCUGGGCUUCAACCAAUUUGCUCUAGCUGCUCUUUUGAUAAUUUGGAGAUAAAGAUUAAGAUGAAUAUAUUAUUCAUAAGUUAUUUAUGGAAAUAGAUUAUUUAGUGCUCUACACCUGAGGGUAAAACAGAGUGGGUAAGAGCUAGUGAAGAAAUAUCCUGAUCUUCUGACUGUUUACACUGGAAGAGAAGAUACAUGGUAACAACUCUUCAAGUUCCCAAAGCAAAAACAAAACUCUUGGACAGAGAGCAACAUGUAGAGGAACAGAUUAAAAACAAUUUCUAUUCAGAAGGGUCAAGAUGGAAUAAGUUGUCAGCACAGCCAAUUUAA
rnacentral:lncRNA from 1 species